AACGAACGCUGGCGGCAUGCCUAACACAUGCAAGUCGAACGAGACCUUCGGGCCUAGUGGCGCACGGGUGCGUAACGCGUGGGAAUCUGCCCUCUGGUACGGAAUAACUCAGGGAAACUUGAGCUAAUACCGUAUAAUGACUUCGGUCCAAAGAUUUAUCGCCUGAGGAUGAGCCCGCGUAGGAUUAGCUUGUUGGUGAGGUAAAAGCUCACCAAGGCGACGAUCCUUAGCUGGUCUGAGAGGAUGAUCAGCCACACUGGGACUGAGACACGGCCCAGACUCCUACGGGAGGCAGCAGUGGGGAAUAUUGGACAAUGGGCGAAAGCCUGAUCCAGCAAUGCCGCGUGAGUGAUGAAGGCCUUAGGGUUGUAAAGCUCUUUUACCC
rnacentral:rRNA from 1 species